UAUUAAUAAUUUCAUCCAUUUGUAUUGUUAAAAACUAGCAUUUUUUACUAAAUAAUUAGAAAAUGACACAUGGCAUGCCAUGUGUACCUCAUGCUGAUUUAUAGGGACUAGUUUUAACAAUAGAAAUGGAUGAAAAUUUUAACA
rfam:Gossypium raimondii Chr12_contig_539, whole genome shotgun sequence.